rnacentral:tRNA from 1 species
UCCCUUGUAGUUUAGUGGGUAAAGAGUCUGCCUGCAGUGUAGGAGACCCGGGUUCGAUCCCUGGGUUGGGAA